CACAGACAUUCUGUCCGUUGCAGGCACGGAUGCCAGACCAGUGUGGCUGGCAAAGGAAGGGCUGAGCGAGGGCUCCAACCUCCAGUUGCCCCAAGAAGGCUGUCAGGGAAAUAUUAACGCCAUCAACACACAUGGGAGUGAGUGGCGAGCCCAGCGGGACGUUUGCAUUGUGUUAAGCCUUAAGAUAAUAUGGUAUGUUGCUGCUCGGAAGAUGGAGCCUGGGGCACAUGGGAGACCACCAGGUAGAGACUGAGGAUCAAGUCAACAUACUGCAAGUAGCAUGGACAGAUAGAGAAACUGGGUUACUGUCAACAUUAUUUAAGCUGCUGGAUAGAGCCUCGCCUGAUUCCCACCUAUCAGCCCUCCCUCUGACAUCUCUAUUACGGGUACCCAUGAAUUCCUAUUAUUGUUUAAGCCAGUCUGAGCUCACUUAGGAGACACUGAACAAAGGAGGUGGUGCUCUGGAUGAGCAGUGUGUCCUGAGGUGAUAGAGUAGCAGGCCAGGCCAGCAGCUGUUCACGGGUGAUGCGAGAGAAGCGGGAUCCAUGAGAGUGCUCCCAGCUAUCUGGUUUUACAACCCACUGAAGGGAGGAGGAGACAGGAGAGUCCUGCGGUAAAUAUUGGAUUCUUGAAAGUUAGGUGCCGCUCAAUUAGCCAGAGAGAUGCGGUAUUUGAACGCAUGGAUGUGUAUGUGUGUAUUAUGUGCUCAAACACCACAUCU